rnacentral:rRNA from 1 species
UCCUGGCUCAGGAUGAACGCUGGCGGCGUGCUUAACACAUGCAAGUCGAACGGAGUUUUAACGGAAGUUUCGGAUGGAAGUUAAGAACUAGUGGCGGACGGGUGAGUAACGCGUGGGUAACCUGCCUCAUACAGGGGGAUAACAGUUAGAAAUGACUGCUAAGACCGCAUAAUAUAGCGAAACCGCAUGAUUUUGCUAUCAAAUAUUUAUAGGUAUGAGAUGGGCCCGCGUCUGAUUAGCUAGUUGGUGGGGUAAAAGCCUACCAAGGCGACGAUCAGUAGCCGGCUUGAGAGAGUGACCGGCCACAUUGGGACUGAGACACGGCCCAAACUCCUACGGGAGGCAGCAGUGGGGAAUAUUGGACAAUGGGGGAAACCCUGAUCCAGCGAACCGCCGCGUGAGUGAAGAAGUAUUUCGGUAUGUAAAGCUCUAUCAGCAGGGAAGAUAAUGACAGUACCUGACUAAGAAGCCCCGGCUAACUACGUGCCAGCAGCCGC